GGCGCUUGCAAGGAGCUGCCGCACUGGGCAUCCUAGACCCUAGCUACGCCACUAAUAUUCUCUUUUGUGGUCCAAGAAUGGAGAUGAGAACAUUUUCAUUUCCAAACAACUCCAAGAUGACUGAAAGUCCAACCCUUGCUGUAAAAAGCCAGGCCAAACAUAUGGUAGGGGCAAGUUGGCCUUUUGUCUGCUUUUAUGCUGGCCGCUAGCCUAAGAAUAUUUUUUUUACACACACCCCACUUGACCAAGAGAUUUAUUUAGAUUUUGAGGCUGAGCUUCCACCAUGUUUGCUAUGUCCAUUAGGUUCAUUUGAGGUAACUCUUACUAUUCAAAUGUGCCAUAUUGAAAGUGCACACACUUGAAUGUGUUUCGUCUAGCUCCAAAGUCAUUGGAGUAUCAUAUAGAGAACCAUAGAGGAGUUGAUUGUGUUUGUGAGACACAUUUAGAUACAAUCAUUGUUCCAGUCACAGACAUUUCAAACAACUCAGGUCAAUAUCCAGUCACAGACAUUUCAAACAACUCAGGUCAAUAUCAAGUCACAGACAUUUCAAACAACUCAGGUCAAUAUCCAGGCGCAGACAUUUCAAACAACUCAGGUCAAUAUCCAGUCACAGACAUUUCAAACAACUCAGCGCAGACAUUUCAAACAACUCAGGUCAAUAUCCAGUCACAGACAUUUCAAACAACUCAGGUCAAUAUCAAGUCACAGACAUUUCAAACAACUCACAGACAUUUCAAACAACUCAGGUCAAUAUCCAGUCACAGACAUUUCAAACAACUCAGGUCAAUAUCAAGUCACAGACAUUUCAAACAACUCAGCACAGACAUUUCAAACAACUCAGGUCAAUAUAGAAUUUGAGUUUAUUUGGAAGUUCAGCAAAGCAGUACAUCAUUUAGUAUUGCAAAAAGCAGUAAACAAAGACUUGCUAGAUGAAGGAAAGCCUAAACAAAAGAAAAUCUUUUCAGGCUAUUUAUGAACAAGCCUUCAUUUCCUUAGUAUGUACAGACCGAGUGGUCUGAAAGUUGAAGAAUUUGAUCCCAUAAUUAACAAAUUAGUAUUUGAAAAUUAACCACUUGAAAAUAACAUUAAAUGCCCAGAUUACUGUUAAAAAAUGUUUGUAUAAAAAAAAAACGAGAAGGAUAUGUUAGGAGUUUGUAUCAAAGUCAAUAGAAUGGUUUUUGCUAAGUCAUAUUAAGGUUAGUCUCAAUACAUAUAUUGACAAGAGUUGUCUAUUCUUGUUUCUUAGUACACUAGCAAGUGAAACAAGAAUGUGAUGACUUUAUGGAGAUGUUUGAAUCAAACAUCUUUUGAUAUAGAAAACUUAGUAUCAGUAACAAUCUAGAAAUCCAAACAGAAUACAUAGUAUCAAGUAGAAACAAUUGUAUAAAUCAAAAAAAAAAAAAUUGUUCAGUGUAAUGAGCUAAUGCUUCAAUGAGUUGCACACACACAAAGUCCCUGACAUGACAAAAUACUUCUUAGAUUUGGAAUGAGUGUUUUGUUUUCAUGUUGAAUCCAGCAACUCGUUAACAUAAUGACAGAGUUGUAGAACCUUGGCUCUAACUAACUGUGUCAUUGCUUGAACAGAGAAAAAAACAAAAUGUUUCUUUGGCCAGCCUGAUAGACGAAAGUGGGGAGGAGGGGGGGGCGAUUGGAGUUGAUCAACAGUAAGAAAACCCAGGACAAAACAACAUCCUUAACAUGGUCCAUCAAACAUCCCAUCAAGGCAUAAUACACAAUGACUGAUUAGGACAGCUGUCAGGGCAUUCCAAUGAUGUACAUACAUAUAUAUAUAUAUAUAUAUAUAUAAAUAUAUAUGUUCUAACACUAUAGUAUGGUAAGACUAUUAUAUUGAUUCAAGUCAAGACAAAAUCUAAUAGCAUUGCCAAAUGAUCAAAUAACUAAAUCAAACCAAUUAAAACUCUAAAGACACAAUCUUUUAUAUGUAGUCUAAGUAGAAAAAAAAA
rnacentral:sRNA from 1 species